rnacentral:lncRNA from 1 species
AUUUAUGUAAAUUCCUUUCAUGGUGCUCCAAGCUCAUACUCUCAGACUCAAAGACUGAGGGAAGAGCAGGAGCAUUCAUGAUUAUGGUUCUGUGUUCCAGCAAAAUAAACUCCCUGGUGGAUGGCUUUCAACUUGUCUUCGCAGAUGGAAUUCAAGAGGCCAAGAUUAAAUAUUUGCAGUGGUUAAGGUUUCCCAACUUUUGCAAGUGUUGGAGAUGGAGAUGUAUAUUCAUGAUAAAACAACAAAACUUCAGUACAAAAUGCUGCAACCAUCUCAACAACAAGAGGCUGAAUAUACAUGUAAAGAAGAAUGAAAGCAGGCAAGCAAAAGGGAGACAACUUCUCAAGCAUCAAUUUCUUCACUUCCUUUUAAGGGAUGUAGACAUAUUUGGGACAACUGCUUCCAGCAUUAAACACAUCCAGUGAAUCCAAAGUUUUCAUUCUUUUCUUUGUAAUUUUAUCAUUUCAGCUGGCUUGUCUAGCUCUAGUUUGCGCUAACUUUGCUG